rnacentral:tRNA from 1 species
GGGUCUGUAGCUUACAUGGUGAAAGCGAUAGAGUGAAAUCCUAUAGAGGCUGGUUCAAUACCAGUUGGACCCAC